rnacentral:rRNA from 1 species
CCUACGGGCGGCUGCAGUGGGGAAUAUUGGAUAAUGGGCGAAAGCCUGAUCCAGCCAUGCCGCGUGUGUGAAGAAGGCCUUCGGGUUGUAAAGCACUUUCAGUGGGGAAGAAAGCCUUGGGGCUAAUACCCUCGAGGAAGGACAUCACCCACAGAAGAAGCACCGGCUAACUCCGUGCCAGCAGCCGCGGUAAUACGGAGGGUGCGAGCGUUAAUCGGAAUUACUGGGCGUAAAGCGCGCGUAGGCGGUCUGAUAAGCCGGUUGUGAAAGCCCCGGGCUCAACCUGGGAACGGCAUCCGGAACUGUCAGGCUAGAGUGCAGGAGAGGAAGGUAGAAUUCCCGGUGUAGCGGUGAAAUGCGUAGAGAUCGGGAGGAAUACCAGUGGCGAAGGCGGCCUUCUGGACUGACACUGACGCUGAGGUGCGAAAGCGUGGGUAGCAAACAGGAUUAGAUACCCUUGUAGUC